rnacentral:rRNA from 1 species
AACGAACGCUGGCGGCAUGCCUAACGCAUGCAAGUCGAACGAACCCUUCGGGGUUAGUGGCGCACGGGUGCGUAACGCGUGGGAAUCUGCCCUUUGCUUCGGAAUAACUCAGGGAAACUUGUGCUAAUACCGGAUGAUGUCUUCGGACCAAAGAUUUAUCGGCAAGGGAUGAGCCCGCGUAGGAUUAGGUAGUUGGUGGGGUAAAGGCCUACCAAGCCGACGAUCCUUAGCUGGUCUGAGAGGAUGAUCAGCCACACUGGGACUGAGACACGGCCCAGACUCCUACGGGAGGCGGCAGUGGGGAAUAUUGGACAAUGGGCGCAAGCCUGAUCCAGCAAUGCCGCGUGAGUGAUGAAGGCCCUCGGGUCGUAAAGCUCUUUUACCAGGGAUGAUAAUGACAGUACCUGGAGAAUAAGCUCCGGCUAACUCCGUG